CGUUCUGCAAAAACGCCGAAGAAAUUUACAAGGCGUUCCGACGAUGCCGCCUUCAAAACGCUGGAACAUAUGCAAAAAGCUGACAGUGCGGGGACGAGCGCCGGACUUGGUAACGCGGCGCGGGCGCCCCGAUGUACAUGGAGCACAACGCGGAGGCCGGGCGCGGCGGUGAGCGAUCCCGUCACGGCCAGGCACUCACACUGUAAGGAUGAGAUUGUUGCUCCACUUAAAGAUAAGAGGUCCGGUGGGAGAAGGAACCUGAACAACGGCAGCUCAAUAUCUUGAUAUAAAGAAGCCUGCACCGGCAGUGUACUCUUACUACACAGUGUUGACACAUAAAACAGAUGGAUGAUGAUUUGGUCAAGGCUGAGUUGUUGCCGUCCUCCUAUUACAAGAUUCACAGCUAUUGCUCUGAUUUGUCUCAUCGAGGUAUUGCAAAUAUUGAUACUAGCGAUGUAUUUUGCUAGCAUAAGUACACAUGGAGUUUUUGUAUUGCAACUUUCUGAUCUUAUCUAGUGUUGUUGUUUUUUGUUGUUGUGGAUUUCUCUUGAAAAGAACACAACUGGAUAAUUGUGCAAUUUGUGAUUCAUGCCAAUUUCAUUAUGAA